rnacentral:misc_RNA from 1 species
GAUGAAGAACGUAGCGAAAUGCGAUAAGUAGUGUGAAUUGCAGAAUUCAGUGAAUCAUCGAAUCUUUGAACGCACAUUGCGCCCCUUGGUAUUCCAUGGGGCAUGCCUGUUCGAGCGUCAUUUGUACCUUCAAGCUUUGCUUGGUGUUGGGUGUUUGUCUCGCCUUUGCGUGUAGACUCGCCUUAAAAUAAUUGGCAGCCGGCGUAUUGAUUUCGGAGCGCAGUACAUCUCGCGCUUUGCACUCAUAACGACAGCGUCCAAAAGUACAUUUUACACUCUUGACCUCGGAUCAGGUAGGGAUACCCGCUGAACUUAAGCAUACAAUAAGCGGAGGA